GAAUUUCUACAACUAUCUAAAACCAAUGCAAUUUUAUCAUAAAAUUUACAUCCAACACAUAUAACAAACAAUAAGCUCAAAAAUAUUAUAAACUUAUUUGAGCCAAUUUAAAUCAAUAUCUAUCUAAAAUUCACAGCUAAAGGAGUACAAUUCAACCAUGAUACUCAACAUGUACAGACUACAUAAUACUAUUAAUUAAUACAAUGUAUUUAUAAAAUAGUAUCACAACAGAGUUCUAAAAUUAAAAUAAAUAUUUAAAUAAACUAAUAAAUAAAUAAAAAUUUCUAAUUAAUAAUAUUAUACCCUACGAGAAAAAAUAUAACUUAGACUCUGAAGAAAAAUUGCUACUCCUGCAAUCUAGAAAAAAUUAUUGAAUAAGAAUGAAUGUUUAACUCAAUGAGUUUAGAUGUUGAUUACAAAUG
rnacentral:misc_RNA from 1 species